rnacentral:rRNA from 1 species
UGGGGGAUAUUGCACAAUGGGGGAAACCCUGAUGCAGCGACGCCGCGUGAAGGAAGAAGUAUUUCGGUAUGUAAACUUCUAUCAGCAGGGAAGAAAAUGACGGUACCUGACUAAGAAGCACCGGCUAAAUACGUGCCAGCAGCCGCGGUAAUACGUAUGGUGCAAGCGUUAUCCGGAAUUACUGGGUGUAAAGGGAGCGUAGGCGGAUAGGUAAGUCAGAUGUGAAAGACCGGGGCUCAACCCCGGGGCUGCAUUUGAAACUAUCUAACUAGAGUACAGGAGAGGUAAGCGGAAUUCCUAGUGUAGCGGUGAAAUGCGUAGAUAUUAGGAGGAACAUCGGUGGCGAAGGCGGCUUACUGGACUGAAACUGACGCUGAGGCUCGAAAGCGUGGGGAGCAAACAGGA